AUACGGAGGAUGCAAGCGUUAUCCGGAUUUAUUGGGUUUAAAGGGUGCGUAGGCGGGACUGUAAGUCAGGGGUGAAAUACUGCAGCUUAACUGUAGCAUUGCCUUUGAAACUGCCGUUCUUGAGUACAGUUGAGGUAGGCGGAAUGUGGUGUGUAGCGGUGAAAUGCAUAGAUAUACCACAGAACGCCGAUUGCGAAGGCAGCUUACUAAGCUGUUACUGACGCUGAGGCACGAAAGCGUGGGGAUCAAACAGGAUUAGAUACCCUGGUAGUCCACGCUGUAAACGAUGAUUACUGGUUGUUAGCGAUAUAUAGCUAGUGACUGAGCGAAAGCAUUAAGUAAUCCACCUGGGGAGUACGUCGGCAACGAUGAAACUCAAAUGAAUUGGCGGGG
rnacentral:rRNA from 1 species